AGGGCCCUACCACAGUCGUUGUUUCUAAUAUAGUAAUGUACUAAUAUCUCGUAUUCUCAUCCGUUAUUGUACGUUAUUGCAAGUGGUUCGAUAUAUCGCGACCUUCUCCGUCGACAUAGUGCGCCAUGAGUCGAAACGCAUCUUUAACUCGUGGUCCGGCAGUGGCGGUUCUAGCGUACGGACAGGGUGGGCAGCUGCCCGUACCAAAUUGGUUGAAGUUCACCUAGUAAAAAGUUAAAUAUGUAUGAAAGAAAUAAGCAGCCAAUUUGCUUGCCAGCAUUCAAGCAGAAUCAUAUUAUUACAGGUAACAUUCAAACUUAUAUAUUGAAAUCAGUGUUUGAUGAUGAAACAUGUCAAAACUUGAUAGGAUUAUCAAUCUUGAAAAACUCUUCUUUGUUUGUAUUAAAAACCGCACAAAAUCGAUGAAAUAGAAACAUUGCUGUUGCCACGUAAUCAUAAGGCCAAAACAAAUUAUGGCAGACCCAUAUCUAUUGAAGCUAUAGUAAAACAUAACAUUUAAUCGAUCAAGAGGCUUUAGAAAAAACUUCGCAAAUUACAGAAACUAGGUUUAAUUUAUUUUGUUCGGUACAACAUGCUGUUUUAUUCAUCAAGACCUGAAAAUAAAAUCAGAAAGAUGAUAGCCCUUUGAAUGAUGGAUUCUGAAGUUCUCCGCCGCAUCUUGGCACAUCUUGACGGGUAUAGCGGAAGAAGUCUCAAUAUCUCAAAUCAAGUGAGUAAGGGCCAUUUCACGUCACAUCCCAGAGGUUGAUGACUGCUCUCCAGACCACAUCAUGGAAAGAGAAACUGAAGAUUAUCGUUCGGUUACAACUAAUGUUAUGAAACCGGUACCACUGACUUGGAAUGAUUGUUGGUAGAAGUUGGUGACAGGAAAGCUAUGUUUGAAUUCAAACGUCGCUUUCCCAGGUCUGCAUCAUGUGCCUGAACAGGAAGAAGCUGAUCAAGGAACUCCAGACAGUAUUGAGAAAGAAGUUGAUAAAUACAAUGCAAAUGUGGAAAACAAAAUGGGUGACUUGGACAUAAAAUCAAUGUUAGCCGCAAUCCACAAUGCUAAUUCUACUAACUGGGGAUACACAAAACAAAGCUUAAGAUUUAUACAACUUAUUUAAAAGUUAGUAAUCAAUUUUAUAUUUAUAAGCUCCAGUGUCAUAAAUUAGAAGACUGUAUUAUUUAUUAUAAUAGAAAUUAAUCCACUAUUUUUUUUUUUUAUAAAUUUUAAAGAUAAGGAGUACAUUGUGAAGAUACCUGUUCAAUUGUUAUUAAGUAGUUGUUUUAAGUUAUAUUGUUUAUUUAAAGAUGUAUUUAUUUAUUUUAUUUUAUCAAGGAAUAUCCUAAAUC